rnacentral:miRNA from 1 species
UUUUCCAAUGAGUUAGUCCUUU